rnacentral:lncRNA from 1 species
ACAAGACUCACUCUUAUAUUUUUCUUCUCAUAAAAUCUAGAGAUGAAACCCUAGAACCCACAGCUCACGCUCGAGAGGAAGAACACUUCCUCUGUUUCUCACGCACGAAAGCCCAACCCACUCUCAACUUUUUACAUCUCCUCUCUCAUGUUUCUCACAUCAAAAAUCACUUCUAAUCUCAUACAAAACUGAUCUCCUUUUAAGGUUGGCAUCCCAUGGA